rnacentral:rRNA from 1 species
AUUCCAGCUCCAAUAGCGUAUAUUAAAGUUGUUGCGGUUAAAAAGCUCGUAGUUGGAUUUCUGCCGAGGACGACCGGUCCGCCCUCUGGGUGAGUAUCUGGCUCGGCCUGGGCAUCUUCUUGGAGAACGUAUCUGCACUUGACUGUGUGGUGCGGUAUCCAGGACUUUUACUUUGAGGAAAUUAGAGUGUUUCAAGCAGGCUUACGCCUUGAAUACAUUAGCAUGGAAUAAUAAGAUAGGACCUCGGUUCUAUUUUGAUGGUUUACGGACCGAUGUAAUGAUUAAUAGGGACAGUUGGGGACAUUCAUAUUGCAUGGCUAGAGGUGAAAUUCUUGGAUUCAUGCAAGAUGAACUACUGCGAAAGCAUUUGUCAAAGAUGUUUUCAUUA